rnacentral:rRNA from 1 species
UGGGGAAUCUUGCGCAAUGGGCGAAAGCCUGACGCAGCCAUGCCGCGUGGAUGAUGAAGGUCUUAGGAUUGUAAAAUCCUUUCACCGGUGAAGAUAAUGACUGUAGCCGGAGAAGAAGCCCCGGCUAACUUCGUGCCAGCAGCCGCGGUAAUACGAAGGGGGCUAGCGUUGCUCGGAUUUACUGGGCGUAAAGGGCGCGUAGGCGGACACUUAAGUCAGGGGUGAAAUCCCGGGGCUCAACCUCGGAACUGCCUUUGAUACUGGGUGUCUUGAGUAUGAGAGAGGUGUGUGGAACUCCGAGUGUAGAGGUGAAAUUCGUAGAUAUUCGGAAGAACACCAGUGGCGAAGGCGACACACUGGCUCAUUACUGACGCUGAGGCGCGAAAGCGUGGGGAGCAAACA